GGCAACAGCCACACCUUCCCAGCAUUCAUUUGGUUCAGCUCCCACCUUCACCUGGGAGCAGUUAUGCCGAAGUUCAAAUAAAAGGCAGACCCUUUCUGCCUCCUUCCUGUUCUCCUUUUCUCUCUUCUUCUCUCUUUUCUCUCUUCUCUUUCUCUCUCUUCUCCCUCUCCAGCACCACCACCACCCCCAUCUCUGUUGUCCCAGUAAGUCUCAUCCAUGUCGGACCAUGUUAGCCUGGUGUGGUUUGUCCAGAUGCAAGCCGAGAUUUCUAUCCCAACACUAAGGAACUCCCAAGAAGAUCUGUGGAGAAGUUUGAGGACCAAAGAAUCGUUGGAGGAACUCAUCACCACUUUGGAAAAUGAACCUAAACCCCAAAGACCCACAUCCUUCAUCUAAGGAAACUCGCGGUUACUAGAAGAAACUGGAGGACAGCUAUGUUUGGGAAAAAUAAUGGAGACCAGGAUCUUGCCAAGGAAGAAGGAUAAAAGAUGACUUCAAAUUGCUGUGUCACUGGAGGUGACCAAGUAGAAGAUGACAAAUGACAUUCAAUGGCUCUCCGGGGAGACGGGCUGCGGGUUCCGGUGGGGUGAGGAGAGGUGGAGAAGAUGGAACCACCCAGAGCAGAGAGAUUAUUCUGAUCCUAUUCGAGAGUACAAUAUUUCCCCUUUC